rnacentral:rRNA from 1 species
UACGGGGGGAGCAAGCGUUGUUCGGAUUUACUGGGCGUAAAGGGCGCGUAGGCGGGCGCAACAAGUCACUUGUGAAAUCUCCGGGCUUAACUCGGAAAGGUCAAGUGAUACUGUUGUGCUAGAGUGCGGAAGGGGCAACUGGAAUUCUCGGUGUAGCGGUGAAAUGCGUAGAUAUCGAGAGGAACACCUGAGGUGAAGACGGGUUGCUGGGCCGACACUGACGCUGACAGCGCGAAAGCCAGGGGAGCAAACGGG